rnacentral:rRNA from 1 species
UACAGAGGUCCCAAGCGUUGUUCGGAUUCACUGGGCGUAAAGGGUGCGUAGGCGGUCGGGUAAGUCUGAUGUGAAAUCUCACAGCUUAACUGUGAAACUGCAUUGGAUACUAUCCGGCUCGAGGAAUGGAGGGGAGACUGGAAUACUUGGUGUAGCAGUGAAAUGCGUAGAUAUCAAGUGGAACACCAGUGGCGAAGGCGGCAUCCUGGACCAACACUGACGCUGAGGAGCGAAAGCCAGGGGAGCAAACGGG